rnacentral:piRNA from 1 species
CCAUGGUGGAUGGAUGAAAGGCCGGA